rnacentral:rRNA from 1 species
AGAGUUUGAUCCUGGCUCAGGAUGAACGCUGGCGGCGUGCCUAACACAUGCAAGUCGAGCGAUCUCUUCGGAGAGAGCGGCGGACGGGUGAGUAACGCGUGGGUAACCUGCCCUGUACACACGGAUAACAUACCGAAAGGUAUGCUAAUACGGGAUAAUAUAUAAGAGUCGCAUGACUUUUAUAUCAAAGAUUUUUCGGUACAGGAUGGACCCGCGUCUGAUUAGCUUGUUGGCGGGGUAACGGCCCACCAAGGCGACGAUCAGUAGCCGACCUGAGAGGGUGAUCGGCCACAUUGGAACUGAGACACGGUCCAAACUCCUACGGGAGGCAGCAGUGGGGAAUAUUGCACAAUGGGCGCAAGCCUGAUGCAGCAACGCCGCGUGAGCGAUGAAGGCCUUCGGGUCGUAAAGCUCUGUCCUCAAGGAAGAUAAUGACGGUACUUGAGGAGGAAGCCCCGGCUAACUACGUGCCAGCAGCCGCGGUAAUACGUAGGGGGCUAGCGUUAUCCGGAUUUACUGGGCGUAAAGGGUGCGUAGGCGGUCUUUCAAGUCAGGAGUUAAAGGCUACGGCUCAACCGUAGUAAGCUCCUGAUACUGUCUGACUUGAGUGCAGGAGAGGAAAACGGAAUUCCCAGUGUAGCGGUGAAAUGCGUAGAUAUUGGGAGGAACACCAGUAGCGAAGGCGGCUUUCUGGACUGUAACUGACGCUGAGGCACGAAAGCGUGGGGAGCAAACAGGAUUAGAUACCCUGGUAGUCCACACAGUAAACGAUGAAUACUCGCUGUUUGCGAUAUACAGUAAGCGGCCAAGCGAAAGCGUUAAGUAUUCCACCUGGGGAGUACGCCGGCAACGGUGAAACUCAAAGGAAUUGACGGGGGCCCGCACAAGCGGAGGAACAUGUGGUUUAAUUCGAUGAUACGCGAGGAACCUUACCCGGGCUUGAAUUGCUAAUGAAUAUGCCGGAAACGGCAUAGCCGCAAGGCAUUAGUGAAGGUGCUGCAUGGUUGUCGUCAGCUCGUGCCGUGAGGUGUCGGCUUAAGUGCCAUAACGAGCGCAACCCUUAUCGAUAGUUACUAACAGUUUAUGCUGAGGACUCUAUCGGGACUGCCGUCGUAAGAUGUGAGGAAGGUGGGGAUGACGUCAAAUCAGCACGGCCCUUACGUCCGGGGCUACACACGUGUUACAAUGGGGGGUACAGAAGGCAGCUACACGGCGACGUGAUGCUAAUCCCCAAAACCCCUCUCAGUUCGGAUUGGAGUCUGCAACCCGACUCCAUGAAGCUGGAUUCGCUAGUAAUCGCGCAUCAGCCACGGCGCGGUGAAUACGUUCCCGGGCCUUGUACACACCGCCCGUCA